GCCAUGACAAGCGCUUCAUCAUCCAGGUGGAGGUGGACGGUGAGAUGUUCAAGGGGACGGGCAGCAACAAGAAAGUGGCCAAGGCCAACGCGGCACUCGCUGCCCUGGAGAAGCUCUUCUCUGGGCCCAACGUGCCGUGCCCCCCCACCAAGACCUUCAAGCAGAAUAUUCCUGGAGGUCGGGGCAGAGGAUUCGGCCGUGGGAGAAGUCGUGGCAGAGGAUUCGGCUACAGUUCAUAUGACGGCGGCAAAAA